AAAAAAAAACGGAAAGAAAACGAAAUAAAUAAUUUUAAAAACACAUUCCUCCUCCUUCUCCUUUUUUUUUGUUCCUCUCUCACUUUCUCCAUCUUUUCUCCAAUUGAAAGAAAAAGCAAUGGGAGGGGGUACAAAAGGCAAGAAGAAAUAGGAACAGGAAAAAAAAAAACAGAAAAAGGAUAAAUAAUCCUUUUUAAAAAAACUAUAAUAUCGAAGGGCUCAUUUUGAGAGAAAAAGAGAGAAAGAAAAAG
rnacentral:ribozyme from 13 species